rnacentral:rRNA from 1 species
AACGCUGGCGGCAUGCCUUACACAUGCAAGUCGAACGGCAGCACGGGAGCAAUCCUGGUGGCGAGUGGCGAACGGGUGAGUAAUAUAUCGGAACGUGCCCAGUAGUGGGGGAUAGCCCGGCGAAAGCCGGAUUAAUACCGCAUACGACCUGUGGGUGAAAGCGGGGGAUCGCAAGACCUCGCGCUAUUGGAGCGGCCGAUAUCAGAUUAGCUUGUUGGUGGGGUAAAAGCCCACCAAGGCGACGAUCUGUAGCUGGUCUGAGAGGACGACCAGCCACACUGGGACUGAGACACGGCCCAGACUCCUACGGGAGGCAGCAGUGGGGAAUUUUGGACAAUGGGCGCAAGCCUGAUCCAGCCAUGCCCGCGUGUGGGAAGAAGGCCUUCGGGUUGUAAACCACUUUUGUCAGGGAAGAAACGGUUUGACUUAAUACGUUGAACUAAUGACGGUACCUGAAGAAUAAGCACCGGCUAACUACGUGCCAGCAGCCGCGGUAAUACGUAGGGUGCAAGCGUUAAUCGGAAUUACUGGGCGUAAAGCGUGCGCAGGCGGCUUUGCAAGACAGAUGUGAAAUCCCCGGGCUCAACCUGGGAACUGCAUUUGUGACUGCAUGGCUAGAGUACGGUAGAGGGGGAUGGAAUUCCGCGUGUAGCAGUGAAAUGCGUAGAUAUGUGGAGGAAUACCGAUGGCGAAGGCAGACCCCUGG